AUAUUGCUGAAGAGUCUCAAACUAGGACGAAACAGCUGUCAAGUAC
rnacentral:hammerhead_ribozyme from 1 species